rnacentral:misc_RNA from 1 species
UUUCCGUAGGUGAACCUGCGGAAGGAUCAUUAUUGAUUUAGCAAACCGAGCGUUAGCGAGGUUUUGCGAUCGUUUAUAUUUAAAACCCACUCUUGAAUGUAUAAAAUUUUAUGUAUUAAUGAUAAAAUUAAAGAUCACUUUCAACAACGGAUCUCUUGGCUCUC